rnacentral:rRNA from 1 species
CUACGGGCUGCAGCAGUGAGGAAUAUUGCACAAUGGGGGGAACCCUGAUGCAGCAACGCCGCGUGGAGGAUGACGCAUUUCGGUGUGUAAACUCCUUUUAUAUGUCAAGAAAAUGACGGUAGCAUAUGAAUAAGCACCGGCUAACUCCGUGCCAGCAGCCGCGGUAAUACGGAGGGUGCAAGCGUUACUCGGAAUCACUGGGCGUAAAGGACGCGUAGGCAGGUUGGAAAGUCAGGUGUGAAAUCCUACAGCUUAACUGUAGAACUGCACUUGAAACUUCUAAUCUAGAGUAUGGGAGGGGGAGAUGGAAUUAGUGGUGUAGGGGUAAAAUCCGUAGAUAUCACUAGGAAUACCUAAGGCGAAGGCGAUCUCCUGGAACAUUACUGACGCUAAGGCGUGAAAGCGUGGGGAGCAAACAGGAUUAGAUACCCGUGUAGUC